GAAAAAAGUUGAAAAAUGAAGAUCUGAAAGAAGGAUGGGUGGAUUACCAUAUGCAUUUCCAAUCUUUGUGGUAGUCUUGAACCCAACAGUGACCCCUACACAAGCCAGCAUGAGAAGGUAAUUGACCUCAGGAAUGUAUACUUGCCCUUCAUACUUAGUCGAUGUAUGCACAAUCUUCACCCGAGGAAAGCACCCCAGCGAGAGCGACUGCUGGAUAAUGGAGAAAGUCCCGGAAAUCAUUGCUUGACUGGCAAUGAUUGAUGCGGACACAGCCACAACAAACAUCGGCCAGUACAGACCAUCUACACCAAAGAAAUUAACCCACCUAAAUAAACCAAUAAAAGAACCAACAAGAAGACAGAAAACAUACUCUAAUGCAAGAAUGCUUACGUGGUAUGGACUUAAAGAAAAUGUCACCAACAUCCUCAUGGUGUUUCCGAAGAAAAGAGGCUUGACCAGUAUAUGCCAAUACAAGAGCAGGGUAUGUGAUAGUGCACAUACUUAUCUGUAUCGAUUGAACUGUGAAGUGGCCAACAUCAGCAAACAGCGCCUCCGUCCCUGCAUUUCCCGAAAACAAUCUGAGAAAUUUCUCAAGUUAAUGAUGGAGGAGAAUUGAUUAAUGAUCCACAUCCAAACCUGUUAUGGAGAGGACGACCCCACCAAGGGAAAUCCAGGCUUGUUUCUUGUUCCUUCUGAAGUAAUCGAUGAUGUACUUGGGAUUAAUGGCUUUAACAACUGUUGGAUCAAACUUGAUGAAGUUGUAGACCCCAAUGCCGCUAAUUAACGCGAACCAAACACAGAUUAUUGGAGCAAAACUGUAUCCAACUUUGUCAGUUCCAAAUCUUUGAACCAUGAAGAGGCAUACCAAAAUGACUACUGAUAUCCAAACAAUCAUAUCUGUUUGCACAAAGGAAAAUGGUAUUGAAAUUAAAAUAAAAUUUAUUUAUUUUUUCAAAUUGAGGAACAAAAAUGAUCAAUAACAUGCUUAUGUAACCAUUUUUUUUAAAUUAUUUUAAGAUGAUAAGACACUUUUAUUGUAUUUAAUAAGUUAGACUAUUACCUUUGUAUAUCUGCCAUGACUAAGGAAGUGGACAAGUCAAAAUGUUAUUAAAAAUAAUUAUAUGAGGAUGUUAUUGUAAUUUGAAAGGAUUAUUUUAAAUUUGUCAACAAUGCAAAGUUGCAAACCAAUUGGUUUUUUUUUUUUUUUUUUCCUUUUUGUUUACUUAAAAAAAGGGGAAAGAUUCCAAGUUAAUGUGGCCAGUUGAGAUUUCCUAAAGUUAUUUAUAUAAGCCAUUGGAUUCAACACUUUUGUCCACACUUUAGUAGUCAAAAUUGUACGAUCUCAUUUAUUAUCAAUUAAUUUGGUCCAAUUCAAUUUCUUUUUUUAGGGUUAUUUAAUUAAAAGAAAUAAAAUAAUUACAAAAAUACCAUUCAUUUUUAUUUUAUUUUUUGUAAAAAUAUUUUUUUAAAAAAAUUUAUAAAAAAUUAUCCAAAUAUUAAAUAAAAAUUUAUUUUAGUAGUUGAUUUUAAAAGUUGAGAAAGAUUACCUUGUGUCAUUGAAUCCAAUGCUACCUUGAUGCCACCCACAGCUGAUAAAACUGUGACAUGCAAAGUCAAAUGUCAAAUACACAACAUGAAAGUGAAGGAGGAAACCCAUUUUCCUUGUCAGCUAAAAUCCAACUAAAUUAAUUUGCAUCACAAUUUUGGUUUUUGUGAAAGACGCCAAUCCUAAAUAUUCCUACCCAAUAAGAAAACUUAAUAAUAAAGAAGAAAGUUGAAUGCAUAUUCCCCCAUAUAUAUGUUUUUUGGUAACAAAAAUUUGUGAAAGGAAAAGCCAUUUAUUAUGAAAGAAGGAAACCUUUUAAUCUCAAACUAAAAAGGAUGAUGUAAAUUAUGGUGGCUUUUUACUUUCCAAAAGUAAGAAAAGUAUUUUCAAAUUAAAAAUUGUGAUGUGAAAACAAAGAUGAAAAAAAGAGCUCUUUUAAAAAAUACGUUAAUAAGGGGGAAUAAAGCAGAAGUAUUUCAUUAAAUUUGUAUGUAAAUGUAAAGAAGAAGGAUAAAAACUAAGCUAACCUGAGAUGCAAGGAGUGAGGACACCAUCACCAAUCACCAUGGAAGUGCCAAGCAUUGUGGCAAACAACAGAAAGAGCUUAGCAAAGUUGCUCUUCUCUAGCUUGGACUUGAGCUUUGAUGCCAUCUGCAGUCUUUUACUAGGCAGCUCCAACCGGAAAUUGGAGACUUCUCUGUCCUCAGCCUGUUGACUAGGGAUCAGCCCCACCUUGGCAUAUCGGCAUAUAAGAGAAUACAAAGCAAAUGUCCCUCCUGAAAAUAAUAAUAACACAAAUGUGAUAUUCAUCACCUAAGCUUAAUGGGUUAUUUUCCUUUUUCGGAGUUAUAAUGUGACCGUAUAUUUAGAGUUGAAAGGGAAGAAAAGAUUAUAAAAAAGAUUCAUUGGAUUGAGAGCACAACUGUUGAUCAUUGAUUAAGCACAUAAGAGGGAAGUUUCCCUUCCCCAUUUGGAGCCUGCAAGGUUAUUUUAACGGCUAAGUCACACAAUUUGUUCCAUCACAGUUGGCCUUCAAAGGUGUUUUCCACUCAUCCCAUCAAUGAUCAAGACUAGCAAAAAUGGCAAGAAAAGAAAAGGGAAAAAAGAAUCACAGUUGGUUUGGAAAAGUUUUAAGAUCAAAGUAGCAUCUUUCUAAUAAGAAAAGAUGAUGGGUUCAAGCCAUAAAAGAAAACAAAAAAAGGAAAAGGAAAGAUAGAAAAAGAAGAUCAAAGUAGGAUUCAUUUGAAUUAAAAUCAAAGGUCAUUCAUGAUGAUGAGCUCUCACCACCGCCAUUAUCAUUGGCCUUCAAAACAAUCAAGACAUACUUGAAGAGAGGGAUGAGGGUGAGGGUGUAGAAGAUGAGAGAAAGAACCCCCAGAAUAUCAUCAUUAUGUUUGACACCAUCAGUGAAAGUGCUUGCAUACACGUACAAAGGCGAAGUUCCAAUGUCCCCAUACACUAUUCCAAUGCUCUGAAACGCCAGGUGCAGUAUCACAGACCAGUUCUUGGAGCCCUUCAAAACAGAAAAUAAAAAGAUAAAAAUAAAUAAAUAAAAUAAAAUAAAAAAUCAAAUCUUCUUUUUCCCAGUUACCAUGCAUGCAGAUACAGAAUAACAAGAAAAUGAUAUCAGGAAGUGGGGGUGCAGACCCUGGAGCUAUGGUGGCUUUGGCCAUGGACAGUCCCGGUCUCCAUGUCUAAGGAGUCCAUACGACGUAGUUCUCCGCAUGAGAGUUUCUUUGAUUUGAGGCCUUGAUCAUGGGUCUCGUCAGGGCUGUUUACCACAUCAGAAGACAUUUUCUAUGAUCCGAAAAGGGCUUUGAUUAGCCUGGAGGUUUAGCAGAAGGAGGAGAGGCCAAUUUAAAGGCACAGAAAGGUCUGAAAGAAGUGAAGAAGAAACAUGAAGUUCAAGGUGGGAGAUGUCGAUGGACAUCCCCCAAAUGUUUGCUUCUUGGUUUUACGCUUCUUACCUUCCUUGCCCUGCCCUGACUUUUGGUUGACAACCGCAUGGUUGAUUUUAUGAAUUAGUAAAUGAAAUUAUGAGUGUCCUUCUUCCCCAUUUAUUUUCCAAAUUUAGUAGAAAACGCGUCAUCAGUGAAUGGUUGAAUGGUUGAUAUCAGAAGCCAAUAAUUUGUUCUUCAAGUUUGGCAUUUUCUAAAUUUAUGAUAUUUUUUAUGGUAUUAAUUAAAAGAUAUUUUUCAUGGUGAUAAUUAAAAGAUAUUUUUGGAAAGAUGACUUCCAAUUAUAUUCCUUUACAAAUUUGAAAAUAUUUUUUGAAUUAAUAUAUUACUAUAUUUAUUAAAUUCCCAUCAAAGAAGCCAUGUUGCUACAAUUUUUUUGGCUAUUCUAUCUAGCUACAAUUGAUACUAAUGGGACAAUCUUUUGAUGCCUUCCCAUGUUUCAAAGCUCAUAAAUCAUUCCCACUUUCAAUAUACGUUUGUGUGGAAUGUCAAACACCUUCUCUGUCUGUCUCAAAUUUUUCUUCAAGAUAUUGUAGCCAACAUUUAUCAAAACCCUCUUUCCAAAUCUGGAGCCCUUAUCUGCCAUCACCUCAGUCUCACCGAUCAAGUGCACUACACCCACUUGUGCCGCGCUAUCAAUUACUUCAAUAUCCUUCUUAACAUCCUGUUGAUGUCUUUUUUCAUCUAUUUGCUUUGAUUCUUCUCUCUCGUUCUCACCAUUAAUCAACCCAUCUUGCAGCUCUCCAGAAACUAUGUCUCCACUAUUGUGUGUUAAUGUCACGGUCAUCAUUAUCUCUCCUCUUAUGAACUCCUUCAAUCUUUCAACCAGCAAUCUCUCAAAAGGCUCUUCCUCAAAACGCACAUCGGUGUACCCAUACCUCACCACACAUCGGAACACAUAAAUAUCAUUUGGUUCUACCCUGCGGAAGAGGAAUCGUUCCUCCACUGGAACCUUGCUUAUGGGGAGAGACUUGAUUGAGACGAAAACAAGAACUGAAUGCAAUGCAGGCACAUUUUCCAUGUAAUGCUUGAAGAUGGGCGGGAUGCCAUGAACAAGCUCAGAGUAGAAGAUGGCCAAUCCUGGUAUUCUACUAAAGUUUGUGCUCACUACUAAUUCCUUCACCACCUCAGGAGAAAUCUUGUGAUCCAGAUCAUAAUAGUAUUUCCUCCGGUACACAUCAUUCCAAAUGUACAUUAUGGUCAUCAGAACUAAGGCAAAGGCCAAGGGUAGAUACCCUCCUUGAUCAAACUUGUAGAGGACUGAACUUAGAUACAGAAGCUCAAUGCUACCAAUGACCACAACAUAUGAGAUCACAAGUAGGAUAUGGGUUUUCCAUAUCAUGAUCAUCACAAGAACCAGAAAUAAUGAGGUGAGGGUCAUCACGAACACCACUGCAAUCCCUACACCAACAAAGACUUGCAAUCAUGAUCAUUUUGAAACAUCACUAAGCUCGAGAAAAGCUGAAAAAUGAAAAUAUGAAAGAAGAUGUGGGUAGAUUACCAUAUGCAUUUCCAAUCUUUGUGGUAGUCUUAAACCCUGCAGUGACCCCUACACAAGCCAGCAUGAGAAGGUAAUUGACCUCAGGAAUGUACACUUGCCCUUCAUACUUAGUCGAUGUAUGCAUAAUCUUCACUCGAGGAAAGCACCCUAGUGAGAGAGACUGCUGGAUAAUGGAGAAAGUCCCAGAUAUCAUAGCUUGACUGGCAAUGAUCGCCGCUGACACAGCCACAACAAACAUCGGCCAGUACAGACCAUCUGCACCAGAGAAACCCCACCUUAACCAAUAAAAAAACUAACAAGAAGACAGAAAACAAACUCUAAAGCCAGAAUGCUUACGUGGUAUGGACUUGAAGAAAAG
rnacentral:lncRNA from 1 species